rnacentral:lncRNA from 1 species
GCUGUCUGCCUACCAGAUCCACCUUCUCUUUCUUUACUGGAAAAAAUUCCAUGCAUCCUUCAAAAUACUCUUUCAUUGUCUUCCUGUGAAGUUUUCUCUGACCUCUAUCCUCUCUUUAGCUCCUUUUUAUCUUGUUAACUACACUAUUUUAUAUCAACACAAACUGUACUAUAAUUACAUACUUAUCUCUUUUUCCCUCCUCAGCUAUGAGUUCCUUAACAGCAGGUUUGUCAGGAGUUCCUAAGACUAUCCCCAGGUUCAGUGAUUCACUUGAAGGACUCACAGGACUCACCAUUGAGUUGCAGCACAGGGAAAAGACACACGGAGAGAAGUUUGGAAGAAACCAGCUCAAAGAGUCCCAGGUGUGCUGGUGCCUAACCCUGGCUGCCAAUCAGAAUUACCUAGGGGCACGUUCGAGAACUUCCCAGGGGAUGUCUAACUUCUAGCAUAACAGAGUGAGAAGGCUCACAAAUCCUCUUCCCACAAAGCAACUAUAAAGCUGGUCAAGAGUCAAAAACAACCUAGUUGGUGCUCUGGAAAGCAAGCAAGACAUUCAACAAACUGAGAAGUGUUUAUUCAUGAAACCCACUGGACUCCAGCACUUCUCCCGAUGUUACAGCUCCUCUACAAUCAACAGCGGAAUGAGAGGGGAGAAAAAAAUCAUACCAGUCUCAUGAGAGCUAAAAUGACCCUCCCAAGAUGAAAGAGCAAGCUACAAGAGAACCAAGGUCUCCAGACUCUAGCGUCUCCCCAGUGAUAGCACAGCCAUUAUUCCUCAGGAAAAGAAAACCAUGAACAGCAUCUGGAGAGGUCAAUCACUUCCACAACCACCCUGCCUGUCCCUUCUGAGAAGGGACCAAAUCCUACCAUUCCAGAGCAAGGCUGCUCAUGUGUAAUCUCCGGAGUCCUUUCUGGAUCUUCUCUAUGACUUAAUCCAAACAGUGAGACAUCUGUUUGAAUUCCACCAUUCCACAACAUACCUAACCCUCAACAGGACUCGCUUUUAGAAAAUGGUUUCAAAGUAACUUAAGUUCCACACUGUGAAUCUACAUUUUCUGGCUAUUUAUAAAUUUGUUGCCAGUUGCCUCAAGUUUACUUUAAUCAACUGUAAUAGACCAAAAUAUAUAAGUUAAGCCUACGACAUCCUCCCCUAUGAUGCAGUCAAUGUUAGGGGUAUUUUAGUGAGCUCAGUUUUUUUUUUUUAAGAGAUGGGUCUCACUAUGUUGCCCAGGCUGGUCUCGAACUCCUGGUCUUAUGGGAUCCUCCCACCUUGGCCUCCCAAAGUGCUGGGAUUACAGGCGUGAGCCACCGCACCCCGCCAGUGAGCACAGCUGACAACAAGCUGCUUUUCAGGUCCGUGAUAAAAGGAAAAUAUUAUAAGAUUAAUGAGAUUUACUAAUUAGAUAUACUCGCUGAUAAUGUGUUUUAUUUUAAUGAAAAGCCAUGAGAUUUAUAAGUACCCUCCUCUGCAUCAAAACAAUAAACCUGAAAUCCUAAAG